rnacentral:misc_RNA from 1 species
GAAAUGCGAUAAGUAAUGUGAAUUGCAGAAUUCAGUGAAUCAUCGAAUCUUUGAACGCACAUUGCGCCCGCCAGUACUCUGGCGGGCAUGCCUGUUCGAGCGUCAUUUCAACCAUCAAGCCCCCGGCUUGUGUUGGGGACCUGCGGCUGCCCGCAGGCCCUGAAAAACAGUGGCGGGCUCGCUGUCACACCGAGCGUAGUAGCAUACAUUCUCGCUCAGGGCGUGCUGCGGGUUCCGGCCGUUAAACGACCUUCAUAACCCAAGGUUGACCUCGGAUCAGGUAGGAAGACCCGCUGAACUUAAGCA